GCGCUGAUGCCUCUUGACACGUGUUAGACUGCUGACACGCAUGAAGCAAACCCACUCCUGAGC
ensembl:snoRNA